UGGGGAACAUUGGGCAAUGGGGGAAACCCUGACCCAGCGACGCCGCGUGAGGGAAGACGGCCUUCGGGUUGUAAACCUCUUUUGUACGGGAAGAAGGAAGUGACGGUACUGUACGAAUAAGUCCCGGCUAACUACGUGCCAGCAGCCGCGGUAAUACGUAGGGGACGAGCGUUGUCCGGAAUUACUGGGCGUAAAGGGCGCGCAGGCUGUGCUGCAAGUCAGCUGUGAAAUGUCUGGGCUUAACCCGGGCAUGCGGUUGAGACUGCAGUGCUGGAGUGCUGUAGAGGCAAGUGGAAUUCCCAGUGUAGCGGUGAAAUGCGUAGAUAUUGGGAAGAACACCGGUGGCGAAGGCGACUUGCUGGGCAGCAACUGAGGCUGAGGCGCGAAAGCCAGGGGAGCAAACGG
rnacentral:rRNA from 1 species